rnacentral:rRNA from 1 species
GGUGAACGCUAGCGGUGCGCCUAACACAUGCAAGUCGAGCGGUAGAAUCUUUUAGCUUGCUAAAAGAUUUGAGAGCGGCGAACGGGUGAGUAACACGUUGGUACAUGCCCCCAAGUCAGGGAUAGCCAUUGGAAACGAUGAUUAAUACCGGAUGUGCUCUUCGGAGUAAAGAUUUAUCGCUUGGGGAGUGGCCUGCGUUCUAUCAGCUUGUUGGUAAGGUAAAAGCUUACCAAGGCUAUGACGGAUAACUGGUCUGAGAGGAUGAUCAGUCACAAUGAAACUGAGACACGGUUCAUACUCCUACGGGAGGCAGCAGUGAGGAAUCUUCCACAAUGGACGAAAGUCUGAUGGAGCGACACCGCGUGAAGGAUGAAGGUCUAACGAUUGUAAACUUCUUUUCUGAGGGAGCAUAAUGAGAGUACCUCAGGAAUAAGGGACGGCUAAUUACG